rnacentral:rRNA from 1 species
GACGAACGCUGGCGGCGUGCCUAAUACAUGCAAGUAGAACGCUGAAGGAGGAGCUUGCUUCUCUGGAUGAGUUGCGAACGGGUGAGUAACGCGUAGGUAACCUGCCUGGUAGCGGGGGAUAACUAUUGGAAACGAUAGCUAAUACCGCAUAAUAGUAGAUGUUGCAUGACAUUUGCUUAAAAGGUGCAAUUGCAUCACUACCAGAUGGACCUGCGUUGUAUUAGCUAGUUGGUGGGGUAACGGCUCACCAAGGCGACGAUACAUAGCCGACCUGAGAGGGUGAUCGGCCACACUGGGACGGAGACACGGCCCAGACUCCUACGGGAGGCAGCAGUAGGGAAUCUUCGGCAAUGGACGGAAGUCUGACCGAGCAACGCCGCGUGAGUGAAGAAGGUUUUCGGAUCGUAAAGCUCUGUUGUAAGAGAAGAACGAGUGUGAGAGUGGAAAGUUCACACUGUGACGGUAUCUUACCAGAAAGGGACGGCUAACUACGUG